UACGUAGGGGCCAAGCGUUGUUCGGAUUUACUGGGCGUAAAGGGCGCGUAGGCGGCGUGUUAAGUCACUUGUGAAAUCUCUAAGCUUAACUUAGAACGGUCAAGUGAUACUGAUGUGCUAGAGUGCAGAAGGGGCAACCGGAAUUCUUGGUGUAGCGGUGAAAUGCGUAGAUAUCAAGAGGAACACCUGAGGUGAAGACGGGUUGCUAGGCUGACACUGACGCUGAGGCGCGAAAGCGUGGGGAGCGAACAGG
rnacentral:rRNA from 1 species